GUGUUGGGGACCGGCGACCUCGCUGACGCCCUUCUUGGGCCCAGCGUCCGCCGCCCCCGAAAUGAAUUGGCGGUCUCGUCGCGGCCUCCUCUGCGUAGUAGCACAACCUCGCAACAGGAGCGCGACGCGGCCACUGCCGUAAAACGCCCAACUUUUUUAGAGUUGACCUCGGAUCAGGUAGGAAUACCCGCUGAACUUAA
rnacentral:misc_RNA from 1 species